CCAGAUUCCACGAAGAAGAAGAAGAAGAAGAAGAAGAAGAAGAAGAAGAAGAAGAAGAAGAAGAAGAAGAAGAAGAAGAAAACGAGGGAAAAUAAGCAGGAAAAGGUAAACAAGGAGGAAAAGGAAGCGUGGAAAAAUAACUUGACCAAGCUGAAAAUGAAUCACCUUGACCCCGAAGAUGCCAUAUUCCUGGUUGAUGCGUUCCUGGAUGAGUGCAAGGUGGAUCAGCAUGGACAAACUAAAGGAGGGUCAAAACAAUCCACAAAGCUGUGUGUUUGGCUUGAUGAGGACAAAGAUGGUCAUCCUCUGCCAAAAAGAUGUAGAGCUGGAGAGAAACGAAAGCGAGAUUCAGCUACUGUUUCUUCAGCAAGCGUUAAAAGCGUGUCCUGUGCUCCGUCUACCAGCACAACUGAAGACACUGUGAUCAUCGAAAAUUUUGACUCCCUCAUUCAAGAUGUCCGAGACCUCUUGGGAAGUGGUGCUGAACAACCUUUCCCCUCAGACUGGAGGAACAGGCAAACUACCUCUCUGGAGAAUUGGACAGUAAUGAGGCCCUUCAUGGUGAACAAUAUGUUGUCAUCUGAGAAGCCCAAGGAGGGGGUUUGCCAUCACUGUGGACACAAGGCUGCAGUAGUGAUGUGUAGGGACUGUUUACCGCGAUCACUCUACUGCACAGCCUGUGACCUUUCCACACAUGAGGCCCUGGUGCUUCAUAACAGAGCAUCCAUGGUGGAGGGGUUCUUCAGACACCUGCCGCCAUCCACUUUUGUUCAGCAGCACGAGGGAGGGAAAUUCUCCUAUCAUGAAAAAGAUUGCAUGUUACCAAUCGUUCCUCCCUGCUGCGACUGCUCCACUGGGCAAACAAGCUUUUCCAAGGGAAAGCCAGUUAUUUUAAUUGGAAUGAAUGGAAGAUACAACCUCUUCCUUCCAUCAGUAAACUGCUCCUGUGGAAAAACCUUGCCAGUGACCAUAAGUGAUCUGGUUGAAAGUGGUUACUGGCCAGCCACUGUCAAUUUUGAGACCUUGUACUUGGUGGACUUGUUCACCACGUAUGAGGAUCUAAAAAUCACUGCCCCAGGGAUGUCGAGACAAGCUUUUGUCAGCAUGCUCGAGUGUCGAACAAAACUCUUCGGGCGAAGUGGUAAGAUUUGUGGGGACACAAUGCAGAGGGCCUUCCUCGAAUGGGCCUAUGCCAAAUUUGAGGUUGACAAGCUGUCUCAGGUCCAGCAUUUUCAGUGCCCUGCAUGCACACCCUCCAUGUUGGCAGUUGCAGUGGAUGGGAACCGGAAAUUAUAUCGUUUCAAAAGCCAACCAGGGCCUGAUGGGUUUUUUGAUGGAGUCUUUUUGGCCAAUGAUGCUGAGGUGUCCUCCUUUGUUGAUUACAUCCAUGGAACAACUGGACAUAAUCCAGGGAAAGGGAGAUGUGGUGCGGGUCAGUGGACCGCAGCACGAGAGUCUGCCAGCAAGUCUGGAAGCAAACUAGACGAGGAAGGUGUUGAAGUUGCUGUCUGCCGUCAUGGGGUUUUGCUGAAGGGACUGAAUAUGUUCCGUGGAGAAAUAUUUGCAUACCCAUUAUAUCUCCAGAAACAGCUAGCUUCACAGACCGUCCAGUUUUUUUGCUCUGAUGUGGUCUGCAAAUAUUGGCCAUAUCUGCAGAAAGUUGUGGACCACUGUCCAGAGUUGGAGGACUUGCUGAACAUGCGCCCAUUUCUCUCCAUCAUGCAUGCAAAAGCGCAUUCAUGGAUGUGUGAGUUAAAAUGGGGGGGACGCAAUCAAGAAGGAGCUGGAACAACAAUCGGGGAGGAGGUUGAACAGGUUAACAGCUUCCUCUCUCGAGCAGCCAUAUGUUCCAAGUACAUGUCAAAAGCCGACUGUACAAAGGAUUGCAGAGGCAACAAAGGACCUGGAGAAACUCACAGCUGAGUUAUCUCUACAGCAAGACACAGUCCAGCAGUGGGUGUCUGAUGUUCAGCAGUGGACCUCAGGAGCAACAAUCCAAAAUGACCUGCAGAGGACCAUCGAGGGGCUAUAUUUGGGCAUCAAACAGCGAAAAUUUCAGCUGUAUCGUCAGUCUGGUGAGAGCAGAAAAGGCCGCUAGUAAUGCAGAUUUGUGAAAAAAUGAAUUCACUACUGAUUUAUACAUAGUAAAAAUAGCAAAGCCUUUUAUUAAAAAAAAAAAAAAAAACAUCUUUUGAAGUAGGUUUACUACAAGUCAGGGCAGCAUACUGAAAAACUGUCAAAAUCAUAAUAAGGUUAAGUGCAAUAUCCAAAUAUUUCCAAUAUUUCUGCAUAGUGCAGAGAUGUCCUGACCUACCAAAAUAGAUUCUGAAAAAAAUGUCCCAAGUUUUUUCACAAUUUUUCAAAUGAUUAUGAAACUUGUGAUGCAAAAAUGAUCACACAACAUCUGUCACAAUAAUCAUAAAACAUACACACAUAUUGUGAAGUCUUAUUUUGUAUGGUGCUUUUGUGUAGUGAUCGUGUGAAUGUACACUCAUUUUUUGUUUCUCAUUGUAGGUGGGAACAAGCGAAGGCAUCAACUGAGAAGAAAGAUUGCUGUUGAGAAGAAAGCCUUGGAAGUUGCCAUCAAUGACCACAAUGCUACUGUGGGGGAAGUUGAAAAACUGCCUCCUCCGAAUGAACUCCUGGCUGUGGACAACUACUCCUGGCCAUGGGAAUGUCAUGGUGAUAUGGAGCGGAAAAAAAAUGUUUUUGACAAGGUAAUGCUGCUGGCUAGACUGAAAGAAGAAGAAUUUAUUGUGGUUCGCGAAGUCAAGCAGCACAUGGAGUACAUGAGGAGUGUUGCUGGACUGAUUGAAGAGUUUACCUUUCAGCUCACUGAAGACACCAGUGGGAAAUGCAGUACAGAGGGCUUAAUGGAGAAAGGACGUGAGGGACUACUCUGUGUGCUGAAGAGAAGAUUGCGUGAAGUUGAAGCACAACUGGCUAAAGCACGCACAACUUACAAAAGUAUUCUUGGACUGCAAACAUUGCCCUUAGAUGACUUUUCUGAAGAGGAAGACUCAGAGAAUACUUCCUCAACUGAUGAGGAACUGGGAGAGUAGUUAUUAGGGAGAUGAUGUGUUUACAUUGUGUUGAACCCAAACGUCAGUGCUGUAAUAACUUGUAUGUGAAACCUGAGGUUAUUUUACUGCUGUUGUAAGAUUUCUUUGUGUUUAGAGCAUGUACUGCAAAUUCCUCUGAAACUGUAAAAACCCAUUAUGUUAGCCCAUUAGUCCCCACCCUCUGCCCCAACCCAAUCACUGGUGAUUCACAACUGUCAGACAUUACAAAUUACCUUGGUUUUUUUAGCAUUACAUAUUUGGUCAAAAUGUAUUGCGCAUCCCUACAUAGCUUCACUAUAUUUUGUAUAUAUUGUACCUACUGUAGUUUACAUAGCCUAUUGUAUUGUUACUCUCUCCAACAGUGUGCUAUUCCAGCUUAUGUUUCCACGUUAGUAUAUCAAUACUCACUCACUCUCACACACUCACUCACUUACACACACAUACAUACAUACACCCACUCUCACACACACUCUCACUCUCUCGUUCACACACGCGCACACACACACACACCCCUACCUAUCUAAAUAUAUAUAGUCUUUAUUUGGUACAGGGCAUAGUCUCUUAGCUCUAGAAAGCCUACUUUUUUC
ensembl:lncRNA